CAUGCAAGUCGAGCGCCCCGCAAGGGGAGCGGCAGACGGGUGAGUAACGCGUGGGGAUCUGCCUAGUGGUACGGAACAACACGGGGAAACUCGUGCUAAUACCGUAUAAGUCCUUCGGGAGAAAGAUUUAUCGCCAUUAGAUGAACCCGCGUCUGAUUAGCUAGUUGGUGAGGUAACGGCUCACCAAGGCGACGAUCAGUAGCUGGUCUGAGAGGAUGAUCAGCCACACUGGGACUGAGACACGGCCCAGACUCCUACGGGAGGCAGCAGUGGGGAAUAUUGGACAAUGGGCGCAAGCCUGAUCCAGCCAUGCCGCGUGAGUGAUGAAGGCCUUAGGGUUGUAAAGCUCUUUCGCUGGGGAAGAUAAUGACGGUACCCAGAGAAGAAGCCCCGGCUAACUUCGUGCCAGCAGCCGCGGUAAUACGAAGGGGGCUAGCGUUGUUCGGAAUUACUGGGCGUAAAGCGCACGUAGGCGGACUUGUCAGUCAGAGGUGAAAUCCCGAAGCUUAACUUCGGAACUGCCUUUGAUACUGCAAGUCUUGAGGAUGAGAGAGGUAAGUGGAACUGCGAGUGUAGAGGUGAAAUUCGUAGAUAUUCGCAAGAACACCAGUGGCGAAGGCGGCUUACUGGCUCAUUUCUGACGCUGA
rnacentral:rRNA from 1 species